CUUGGUCAUUUAGAGGAAGUAAAAGUCGUAACAAGGUUUCCGUAGGUGAACCUGCGGAAGGAUCAUUACCAAUUCAACGGUGUGGUCGCGGCCUCCGGGGGCUCCCCCCGGGCGGUAGAGGUAACACUCAUACGCGCCACAUGUCUGAAUCCUUUUUUUACGAGCACCUUUCGUUCUCCUUCGGUGGGGCAACCUGCCGUUGGAACUUAUCAAAACCUUUUUUUGCAUCUAGCAUUACCUGUUCAGAUACAAACAAUCGUUACAACUUUCAACAAUGGAUCUCUUGGCUCUGGCAUCGAUGAAGAACGCAGCGAAAUGCGAUAAGUAGUGUGAAUUGCAGAAUUCAGUGAAUCAUCGAAUCUUUGAACGCACCUUGCGCUCCUUGGUAUUCCGAGGAGCAUGCCUGUUUGAGUGUCAUGAAUCUCUCAACCUAUUAGAUUGCAAAAUCAAAGUAGUGUUGGAUUUGGAGGCUUGCUGGCCUGGUCAGCUCCUCUUAAAUGCAUUAGCUUAUGGAUCGCGCAGUUAUUAGAUCUACGGUGUGAUACAUGUCUUACCAAUGGAUCGAAAACUAUAAUCACCGCUUCGGCAGUUGUAUACUUUUUAAUGUGUACCGUGUGAUGAGUGAAUACAAAGCUUCUAAUCGUCUGUAAAAGGACAACUUUUUUUGACAUCUGACCUCAAAUCAGGUAGGACUACCCGCUGAACUUAAGCAUAUCAAUAAGCGGAGGA
rnacentral:rRNA from 1 species